AGCUGAUGUCUGGUUGAGGUUAUAUUACUGAGGGCAACGAGAGGCCAGGUUAUCCAAGACCGGAAACAGACAAUACCAGAAAAGGACUCAGGAUGACUCCAGUAAAAGACAGCACUGCAAAAACGGAACUAAAUCAGGUCAAGCUGCGGCACAGAGGCUUGUCAGUCAUCCUGAUGAGCUGUCUGCCUUGAAACAGCCUCUGGCCUGAGGCGGAGGUAGCAGGAAAGCCACUGCCGACAAUCAGAGAGGACAAAGAGGACUCGCUUAUCUGCUGUCUGAGAAAAGGCAACAUUUGAACAGCUCGCAGCCUGUGAGUGUCUGCUUUCAUUUGCCGGCUCGCCUUUGAUUUUCUCUGAUGUGUUUCUGUCAGCGGAGAUGUCGGCAGAGUGUCGACAGCGAGGGGAGAAUAAGCAGGUCAUUUGCUGGAUGCUAUCUGACAGGCCGCAGAAGGCCCGUCCAUCUCAAAGUUCAGCACGGCAGUCGCCGCUGACGGUGCCCCGCUCUGCACUGCCAGAUAAUGUGACAGAACAAGACAGUGAUGAGCUGAGAUGGCGGCUGAGACGAGCUGACUUUUACCGCAGACGCUUGACAGAAGGGUCAAAAACAAACCAAGUUCCGUCCUUUUGUUCUUGCACAGCACAUUGUUUGCCAUUCCUCUUGAUAAGGCUGUGCAACAGGAGGAUUCAUGGCAAAACAAAAAGGCUGAAUGUUUUUUUUUCUUUCUGAAUCUAAAUGUAAUGCCUAUUUAUGCCUUCACAUUUAGGUUUUAAAGUAAAGUUACUAUAAGCAGCGAUAGGUGCAAUUUUUCUUCGCCAUAUUUCAAAACAUUGAUUGAUUGGCCAAUAAUAACAACAGUGGAUCUUUGACUAUUUAGAAAAAAAAUAACAAGUCUUUAAGAAGUUAAGUAUGAAAUUGGAGUUGCUUGUUUCCUCUUUAUUGGUUAACACAUAAAGAUUCUACAUUUUCUCAUUAGGUUACCUUACAUCUCUACAGAUUUAAUUUUUUCACUCGGGGCAUGUUGCUCUUUUUGCACAUUAACACAUGUGGAGUAAAUCUGGUACAUACUUUGCUUAACAAUCUAGAAAACCACACACAAAAGGCUGUU